GGAGCAUGUGGUUUAAUUCGAAGAUACGCGAAGAACCUUACCUAGCCUUGACAUUGAAAGAAUACUUUAGAGAUAGAGUAGUGCCCUUCGGGGAGCUUGAAAACAGGUGCUGCACGGCUGUCGUCAGCUCGUGUCGUGAGAUGUUGGGUUAAGUCCCGCAACGAGCGCAACCCUCGUCGUUAGUUGCUAACAGUUCGGCUGAGCACUCUAGCGAGACUGCCUUCGCAAGGAGGAGGAAGGUGAGGACGACGUCAAGUCAUCAUGGCCCUUAUGGCUAGGGCUACACACGUGCUACAAUGGGGCGUACAGAGAGUUGCGAUACCGCGAGGUGGAGCUAAUCUCAUAAAGCGUCUCUCAGUUCGGAUUGUUCUCUGCAACUCGAGAACAUGAAGCUGGAAUCACUAGUAAUCGUAGAUCAGCAAUGCUACGGUGAAUACGUUCCCGGGUCUUGUACUCACCGCCCGUCACACCAUGGGAGUUGAUUUCGCCCGAAGCCAGGAUGCUAAACUAGCUACUGUCUACGGCGGAAUUAGCGACUGGGGUGAAGUCGUAACAAGGUA
rnacentral:rRNA from 1 species